rnacentral:rRNA from 1 species
UAACAAAAACAUGUCUUCUUGAUAAUAUUUUUAAGUCUGACCUGCUCACUGAAUAAAUUUAAAGAGCCGCGGUAUUUUGACCGUGCAAAGGUAGCAUAAUCAUUAGUUUCUUAAUUAGAGGCUUGAAUGAAUGGUUUGAUGAGAAAUUAACUGUCUCUUAAUAAAUUUUAGAAUUUAACUUUUAAGUUAAAAGGCUUAAAUACUUCUUUAGGACGAGAAGACCCUAUAGAGCUUGAUAUUUAUAAGUUUUAUAUUAUUUUAGGUUAUCUUUUUAUGUAAUUUUUUAUUAUUUGGUUGGGGUGACAUGAAGAAUAAUUAAACUCUUCAUUAUUAAAUCAUUGAUUUAUGUUCAUUUGAUCCAUAAUUUAUGAUCAUAAGAUUAAGUUACCUUAGGGAUAACAGCGUAAUCAUUUUUGAGAGUUCAUAUCGACAAAAUGGAUUGCGACCUCGAUGUUGGAUUAAGAUUAAUUUUAGGUGUAGUAGCUAAUAAUUAGUCUGUUCGACCUUAAU